rnacentral:rRNA from 1 species
CCUACGGGUGGCAGCAGUGGGGAAUAUUGGACAAUGGGGGGAACCCUGAUCCAGCCAUGCCGCGUGUGUGAAGAAGGCCCUCGGGUUGUAAAGCACUUUCAGUGAGGAAGAACGCCUGGUGGUUAAUACCCAUCAGGAAAGACAUCACUCACAGAAGAAGAACCGGCUAACUCCGUGCCAGCAGCCGCGGUAAUACGGAGGGUGCGAGCGUUAAUCGGAAUUACUGGGCGUAAAGCGCGCGUAGGUGGCUUGAUAAGCCGGUUGUGAAAGCCCCGGGCUCAACCUGGGAACGGCAUCCGGAACUGUCAAGCUAGAGUGCAGGAGAGGAAGGUAGAAUUCCCGGUGUAGCGGUGAAAUGCGUAGAGAUCGGGAGGAAUACCAGUGGCGAAGGCGGCCUUCUGGACUGACACUGACACUGAGGUGCGAAAGCGUGGGUAGCAAACAGGAUUAGAUACCCUUGUAGUC